rnacentral:rRNA from 1 species
UGGGGAAUUUUGGACAAUGGGCGAAAGCCUGAUCCAGCAAUGCCGCGUGUGUGAAGAAGGCCUUCGGGUUGUAAAGCACUUUUGUCCGGAAAGAAAUCCUUGGCUCUAAUACAGUCGGGGGAUGACGGUACCGGAAGAAUAAGCACCGGCUAACUACGUGCCAGCAGCCGCGGUAAUACGUAGGGUGCAAGCGUUAAUCGGAAUUACUGGGCGUAAGCGUGCGCAGGCGGUUUGCUAAGACCGAUGUGAAAUCCCCGGGCUCAACCUGGGAACUGCAUUGGUGACUGGCAGGCUAGAGUAUGGCAGAGGGGGGUAGAAUUCCACGUGUAGCAGUGAAAUGCGUAGAGAUGUGGAGGAAUACCGAUGGCGAAGGCAGCCCCCUGGGCCAAUACUGACGCUCAUGCACGAAAGCGUGGGGAGCAAACAGGAUUAGAUACCCUGGUAGUCCACGCCCUAAACGAUGUCAACUAGUUGUUGGGGAUUCAUUUCCUUAGUAACGUAGCUAACGCGUGAAGUUGACCGCCUGGGGAGUACGGUCGCAAGAUUAAAACUCAAAUGAAUUGACGGGGUCAUAGCUGUUUCC